GACGAACGCUGGCGGCGUGCUUAACACAUGCAAGUCGAACGAAGUGGCGAACGGGUGAGUAACGCGUAAUCAACCUGCCCUUCAGGGGGGGACACCAGUUGGAAACGACUGCUAAUACCGCAUAGUGAAGGAGGGGAUUGCGUGGGAUUAGCUAGUCGGGGGGGUAACGGCCCACCAAGGCGAUGAUCAGUCGCCGGUCGUAGAGGAUGAACGGCCACAAUGGGAAUGAGACAUGGCCCAGACUCCUACGGGAGGCAGCAGUGGGGAAUCUUUCGCAAUGGACGAAAGUCUGACGGAGCAACGCCGCGUGAGUGAUGACGGCCUUCGGGUUGGAAAGCUCUGUUAAUCGGGACGCGGUACCGGAAUAGAAAGCCACGGCUAACUACGUGCCAGACGCCGCGGUAAUAC
rnacentral:rRNA from 1 species